UUCUCAAAAUACAUGUUUCCAUGGAACCUAACAACAGACAGGAAGCCUGGGGGAUAGUCUGUUGCUAUCUAUCACUGUUGCUAAGGGCAGGAUGAGUGGGUAGAAUCAACAUGACCGAGAUAUAGGUUAAGGAAUUCAGAGCAAAGAUUUGCCAGAAGUUUUUAUGCCUAGAAAAGAGGGUCCUAUCUAAAAAUAUAUUGAGUAUUUACUAUCUAAAAGAAAUUGAGUAAACAAAGAGAAAGAGAGAGAUGAUAUAGUCCUUUUCCUCAAGAAUCUUAUAUUCUAUUGGGGGAAGCAGGCAGGAAAUUAUAUAGCAUAAACACAGAACAGUACCUCAAGAAGAACAUCUUGGCAUCACUAUGAAAAUGAAAUUGAAACGAACUGAAACUAAUUAGGAGAAUAUUUCAAUAGGCUAAACAAAAUGUUAUGGGGUGCUGAAACAGCAAAACAGUCAUAUAAAAGGGGAGAAAAGUGGAGGAAAUAAGAGAUGUGGAGAUAAAAUCUAUAUGAUCCAGUCCUUGGUUGUAGCACAAGAGUGCCAUCUUCAGCUCUCAAACACUCGGAAUUCUUGAGACUGUUGCCAUCUGUGAAUCAGGAAAGACGGCUAUUAAAUAUAUUUCAUUGCCAUGAAA